rnacentral:rRNA from 1 species
GACAGAGGGGGCAAGCGUUGUCCGGACUGACUGGGCGUAAAGCGCACGCAGGCGGCACGCGAGGUGGCGGGUGAAAGCAGCCGGCUCAACCGGCUGAGGUCCUGCCAAACGCGCGGGCUCGAGCGAUGCAGAGGGUGGUGGAAUUGCCGGUGUAGUGGUGAAAUGCGUAGAGAUCGGCAGGAACACCGAGGGGGAAACCAGCCACCUGGGCAUCGGCUGACGCUGAGGUGCGAAAGCGUGGGGAGCGAACCGG